CCCUUGCGGAAGGUCUUGCCACUUCCUUGCCUUCCCAUUAGGCGGAUGUACGCAGUUGCUUAAACAAAUUGUUUUCACAGUCUUUUUUUCCAAAAUCUUUUUUAUUUUUUAAAUUAAAAUUCCCUGGCGUGUGGUCCAUCGGACCAGAAGGGGGCUCUAAUGUCUGAUGACUUUGAAAUCACCUUCAAAAUGUAUAUGACAACGGCUGAUGCAAUUUGGUAGUAACUUCAUUUGCAUCAGAAUACGUAAUCUGGUACUUAAACAAACAACAUCAACACCUUCAAGGACUGCCCAGAAGCGAAAACAACAACAACAACAAGCCGGUCGGCGUGAGUGUAGGACAUUUGAAGAGCAUCGGGAGCCGGAAGGCGUUCCACAGCCCAACAACAACAACAACCGAAAAAUUUCAUCUAGAAGAUUUAACCUUCACCCGUCUUUUGCCUACAUUUUUUAUUAUUUUAUUCGCUUCAUACGCACAUUCUUCUUCUUUUUACUCUCUUCAUUCAUUUUCCCUUUUUAUAUUCGCCUGAAAUGCCCAGUUGGUGAAGGUCACCUUCUUCUAUUUAGUGGCGGACUCGUCGCACUUCUGAUCCACUUGUUGCAUUUUUAUUUAAUACACCCGCAGGUUAUUUUACUCUGA